rnacentral:rRNA from 1 species
AUAAUACUCCAUAGAUUAGAGACACUGGAAUGUUCUUUAGUCGAAAGUUCUGGCGCCUUAGGAUGGAUCUGCGGUCGAUUAGGUUGUUGUUGGGGUAACGGCCCAACAAGCCUGUAAUCGAUACGGGUUGUGGGAGCAAGAGCCCGGAGAUGGAAUCUGAGACACGAUUCCAGGCCCUACGGGGCGCAGCAGGCGCGAAAACUUUACAAUGCAGGAAACUGUGAUAAGGGAACUCCGAGUGCCCGUAUACGCGGGCUGUCCAGGUGUUUAAAAAUCAUCUGAAGAAAGGGCCGGGCAAGACCGGUGCCAGCCGCCGCGGUAAUACCGGCGGCUCGAGUGGUGGCCACUAUUAUUGGGCUUAAAGCGUCCGUAGCUGGACCGAUAAGUCUCUUGGGAAAUCCGCCGGCUCAACCGGCGGGCGUCUAAGGGAUACUGUUAGUCUAGGGACCGGGAGAGGUGAGAGGUACUCCGGGGGUAGGAGUGAAAUCCUGUAAUCCCCGGGGGACCACCGAUGGCGAAGGCAUCUCACCAGAACGGCUCCGACAGUGAGGGACGAAAGCUGGGGGAGCGAACCGGAUUAGAUACCCGGUAGUCCCAGCCGUAACUAUGCGCGUUAGGUGU